GCAUUGGUGGUUCAGUGGUAGAAUUUACGCCUGCUUCGCGGGAGGCCCGGGUUCGAUUCCCGGCCAAUGCA
rnacentral:tRNA from 1 species